rnacentral:rRNA from 1 species
CUAUACAUGCAGUCGAGCGACAGAUAAGGAGCUUGCUCCUUUGACGUUAGCGGCGGACGGGUGAGUAACACGUGGAUAACCUACCUAUAAGACUGGGAUAACUUCGGGAAACCGGAGCUAAUACCGGAUAACAUAUUGAACCGCAUGGUUCAAUAGUGAAAGGCGGCUUUGCUGUCACUUAUAGAUGGAUCCGCGCCGUAUUAGCUAGUUGGUAAGGUAACGGCUUACCAAGGCAACGAUACGUAGCCGACCUGAGAGGGUGAUCGGCCACACUGGAACUGAGACACGGUCCAGACUCCUACGGGAGGCAGCAGUAGGGAAUCUUCCGCAAUGGGCGAAAGCCUGACGGAGCAACGCCGCGUGAGUGAUGAAGGUCUUCGGAUCGUAAAACUCUGUUAUCAGGGAAGAACAAAUGUGUAAGUAACUGUGCACAUCUUGACGGUACCUGAUCAGAAAGCCACGGCUAACUACGUGCCAGCAGCC